CGUCGCACGCGCCAUUUUGAGAGUCAAACACAUGUUUUUGUUUUGAUCCAUUCGCCAGGAAAAAUCGGCGACUUGGUGUAACUGAAAUAGCCACCAGAUCUCACCAUGGUACAUACAUGCGUUGCUGUUGGCUGCCACAACAGAAAAACUCCAGAUUCACGCCUGUCGUUUUACCGAUUUCCGCGGGAUAAAGACAGAAAACAACGAUGGAUUGCGGCAGUCAAACGGGCAGGGUGGCAGUCCACAGAUGCCAGCAGACUCUGCAGUGAACAUUUUGUGUCAGGUAAACAGAGCAAAAACCAGUUUUCCCCCGAUUAUAUUCCAUCAGUGUUCAAGCAUGCCCCAUCUCUGGAAAAGAGAAAACAUCUUGCCGAGCUUGCAAACUUUGAGCGGAGACGAGAACUAAUAAGGAGCAAGCGACAAGAACAAGAGAAGAGGACGGAUGUUGCAGCUGCUCUGCUUGAACUUCAAAGCAUUCACCCAGUCAAUUCUGCAACAACAGACGCUGUGUCCGAUGCUCAAGACCAAAAUCCAGUGGUUGAGCACCUACAUCUGACAGUUGCAAUCAGCAACCUGACUAUGCAAUGGAAUGCAACGCCCUCAGACUUGAAGUGAGCAUGCUGAAAGGUCAAGUAGAUGCAUUAUCUAUUACAGAAAAGUCUUUUGAGACGGAUGACAAUAUAGUUAGGUUUUAUACGGGAUUGCCAAAUUUUAAAACACUGAACACAAUUAUUUGGGUGAUUCACUCUCAAAUCAAAGUAGAGAAACUGUCAAAGUUUCAGCAACUAGUGCUAACACUCAUGAAAAUGCGGCUUAAUUUGACAAAUCAGGAUUUGGCCCACAGGUUUGGUGUAGAUGCAUCUACAAUUUCAAGAACAUUCAGGCACAUAGUCGAUUUAUUGUACUUAACUCUGGUUCCCACUGCUGUUGUCUGGCCACAUAGAGAGGCGCUGAGGAAGACUUUGCCCAUGACUUUCAUGACAACCUAUCCAAAAUGUGCUGCGAUCACUGACUGUUUUGAAGUGCCGCUUGAGCAAUCGAGUGACCAGGAGGCCACAGCACAGACACGCUCAGCGAACACUUUAAGAAAUACAGUGAAAUAUCUCGUCGGAGUAGCGCCACACAGUGUCAUCACCUUUAUCCCUUGUGCUAUCCUAGGCACUUUAACAUUGGGAGUUGGGUCAUCUAGACCCACUAGACAGUGCUCUGAACCUUUUUUCUUCAAUGAUUUGUGAUCUUCACUGGUGUCCAUGGAUUACAUGAAAUCUUUCCACCUUUAUCCACCUUUGUCAUGGUAGGGAGAACACAUCAAUGUAAGGGUGGGGUCAUCUAAGAUAGCACAAGGGUUAAAUCAAAGGGCUGGGGUGGCGGCGUUAGUGACCGUCACCUAAUGGAAAACACUGGUUUCCUUCAAAACAUGCUGCCUGGCGAUAUCGUGUUCGCUGAGAGAGGCUUUAACAUUCACGAGUCGGUUGUGGUCCAUGGAGUCCAGUUGGAGCUUCCUGCUUUCACAGAAGAACAAAUUCAGCUGAGUAGGAAAGAUUUGGCAACAACUAAAGAAACCCAAAAGAUGGCUUCAGUAUGCAUGCAUGUGGAAAGACUUACUGGAAUGGUUCAACAGAAAUACACUAUUCUUAAUGGCCCUGUAGAAACCGCACUCACUUAUACAGAUGCAUCAUGCGGUGCCAUUACCUUGGAUAAAAUCGUACAUUCUGCCUGUGCUUUGAGUAACUUGUGUAAAUCCGUUGAGCCUAUUGACUGAUUUAUUUUUUAUUCUGUAUCAACAACAAAAAAACACGUUUUUCAAAAUGGGUGAUCAUGUAAAUGACUUCACUGGACUUUUUUUUUAAACAAUAGAUUGAUUUCAUUGAAUCUAUGAUAAUAAAUGUGCAUAAAGUGGGAAAAUGUUUACGUUUGAUGAAUAGCUGUGUGAAAAAAGGACAAUGUUCUUGUUUUUGCUGCUUUGCGUUGACACAAUACAAAACAAUGAUUAAAUGACAAUGUUGAAAAUAGGUUUUUAAAAUAAGAAAGUGAACAGAAAUAAAGUGUUUAUUAA